rnacentral:rRNA from 1 species
GACGAACGCUGGCGGCGUGCUUAACACAUGCAAGUCGAACGAAGUGGCGAACGGGUGAGUAACGCGUAAUCAACCUGCCCUUCAGAGGGGGAUAACAGUUGGAAACGACUGCUAAUACCGCAUACUGAAGGAGGGGAUUGCGUCGGAUUAGCUAGUUGGAGGGGUAACGGCCCACCAAGGCGAUGAUCAGUAGCCUGUCUGAGCGGAGUGACGGCCACAUUGGGACUGAGGCACGGCCCAGACUCCUACGGGAUGCAGGAGUGGGGAAUCUUCCGCAAAUGACGGAAGUCUGACGGGGCAACGCCGCGUGAGGGAUGACGGCCUUCGGGUUGUAAAGCUCUGUUAAUCAGGGCGCGGUACCGGAAUAGAAAGCCACGGCUAACUACGUGCCAGCAGCCGCGGUAAUAC